AUACGGAGGAUCCGAGCGUUAUCCGGAUUUAUUGGGUUUAAAGGGUGCGCAGGCGGGAGAUUAAGUCGGCGGUGAAAUUUUGCAGCUCAACUGUAAAAGGGCCUUCGAAACUGGUUUCCUUGAGUGGAGAUGAAGUAGGCGGAAUUUGUGGUGUAGCGGGGAAAUGCAUAGAUAUCACGAGGAACUCCGAUUGCGCAGGCAGCUUACUAAACUACUACUGACGCUCAGGCACGAAGGCGUGGGGAUCAAACAGGAUUAGAUACCCUGGUAGUCCACGCAGUAAACGAUGAUUACUAGCUGUUUGUGAUACAAUGUAAGCGGCUGAGCGAAAGCGUUAAGUAAUCCACCUGGGGAGUACGUUCGCAAGAAUGAAACUCAAAUGAAUUGACGGGG
rnacentral:rRNA from 1 species